AGACAGCAGUCGCCGCGGUAAUACGUAGGUGGCGAGCGUUGUCCGGAAUUAUUGGGCGUAAAGGGAGCGCAGGCGGACAUAUAAGUCCAUCUUAAAAGUGCGGGGCUCAACCCCGUGAGGGGAUGGAAACUGUAUGCCUUGAGUGCAGGAGAGGAAAGCGGAAUUCCCAGUGUAGCGGUGAAAUGCGUAGAUAUUGGGGGGAACACCAGUGGCGAAGGCGGCUUUCUGGACUGUAACUGACGCUGAGGCUCGAAAGCCAGGGGAGCGAACGGGAUUAGAUACCCCAGUAGUCCCUGUCUCUUAUACC
rnacentral:rRNA from 1 species